GGAGGAGGGAAGUGCGGCUCAGACAGCGCGGCGCCAGCAAACACCUGCAAACAGCUCCGGGCACACAAUGGCAAAUACAGGUGGGAACCGCCGCCUCCGUCAGCGCAGCGAUUGCAUCAGACUCCGUCGCUUGCCAAGAGGCGAACGAGCCGGAUCACGGGCCACCGGCACCGCGGCGGGGUCGCGCUCGACCUUCACCACUCACCCCCCCCGGGUUUUCCAGGAAAGCAUCGGCAUCCCACAACAGCCAAGAUAAAUCUGUUCCAUGGGGUAAAUCUUCUCCCCGAGGUAAAUCCCAUCUGCCCCACGGGGUAAAUCAUCCCAUCAACCCCCUGAUGUAAAUCCCAGUCCCAGCAGUUAUUUUUAGUUUUGGGGGGGGUUCCUAUUUUUUUUUUUAGAGGCGUUUCAAAGAAAGUACUGGACACUGACAGCCCAGUCCAGGGAACUAGUGGGGUCUGAACACGGCUUGUGCCAGAGUCUGGGAAUGCCGGGGUAGCUGUUCCGGGCAAAGCGCCGGGAUCCAUCCACCACGGGGGAGGAGGUAGCGGCCCUGGGAGGCUUUUUGGGAGCUAGAGCCGAACCCCCACAGCCCCUGGCCUCGGAAAUCCCCUGCCCUGAUGCCUGAGAGGGGAUAGGGGCCACCUCCACUCCCCAGGGGCUGCAGUCCCCCUCCACCUCCCCAGUGUCAUUUCCAUCCAAAAAGCCCCAGCAGGACUGGUUUCUGCCACCCUAUCCUAGCCCCACUUCUCCAAGUAACUCCUGCCCCAAAGUAGGCUCACUAACGCUCCCACCAGUCUAGGAUUUCCACCACCAUCAUCUCUGAUGAGGGACCGAUUAGGACCUGGGAUGGAGUGCUCACACUGCAAGAAGCUGCACCUUCCAGGUACCAAGACUCAUCCCUGUCCCCUGGCUCAUGCCCAGGAUGCUUUUCCCACCCAUCCCACUUAAAUCUCUUUGGCACAUCAGCACUGGCACAGCUGGAGGACCAUGACACCCAGGUGAAUGUGGGGACACUCGCCCCUAACCCACCCCUUGCCUUUUCCUCCAGAGCCAAAAACCAGUGGAGAUGGCAAAAGCUAAUUUUUUCACUGUGAGCAUAACAGCAGUUCUGUUCCCAGAUGCAGUGGUUUUUGGAUGGACACCUUCACCUGCCUCUCACCAUGCCCGGACAGCCCAUGUCACCGCAUCCUACCCCAUCCAGAGGGCUCCAGCUACACUUCUAGAUGGUCCCCGGGGCUGCAGCACCGUCUUCACUCUUUCGGUAUCAGGUAAGCACAGCAGCACACAAAAUAGCUGGCAGCCACCUCGGCCAGGAACGGCCAGGAACGGGCGGCCCAGGGUUAAUUCCUCCCAUACUUGAGCUGACAUUUCAAUGCUAUUACACAAUUAUGGAGAUUCCUACUGUAACCCUAGAAGUUCCCAUCAAAG